GAUGAACGCUGGCGGCGUGCCUAAUACAUGCAAGUCGAGCGAACGGACGAGAAGCUUGCUUUUCUGAUGUUAGCGGCGGACGGGUGAGUAACACGUGGAUAACCUACCUAUAAGACUGGGAUAACUUCGGGAAACCGGAGCUAAUACCGAAUAAUAUUUUGAACCGCAUGGUUCAAAAGUGAAAGACGGUCUUGCUGUCACUUAUAGAUGGAUCCGCGCUGCAUUAGCUAGUUGGUAAGGUAACGGCUUACCAAGGCAACGAUGCAUAGCCGACCUGAGAGGGUGAUCGGCCACACUGGAACUGAGACACGGUCCAGACUCCUACGGGAGGCAGCAGUAGGGAAUCUUCCGCAAUGGGCGAAAGCCUGACGGAGCAACGCCGCGUGAGUGAUGAAGGUCUUCGGAUCGUAAAACUCUGUUAUUAGGGAAGAACAUAUGUGUAAGUAACUGUGCACAUCUUGACGGUACCUAAUCAGAAAGCCACGGCUAACUACGUGCCAGCAGCCGCGGUAAUACGUAGGUGGCAAGCGUUAUCCGGAAUUAUUGGGCGUAAAGCGCGCGUAGGCGGUUUUUUAAGUCUGAUGUGAAAGCCCACGGCUCAACCGUGGAGGGUCAUUGGAAACUGGAAAACUUGAGUGCAGAAGAGGAAAGUGGAAUUCCAUGUGUAGCGGCGAAAUGCGCAGAGAUGUGGAGGAACACCAGUGGCGAAGGCGACUUUCUGGUCUGUAACUGACGCUGAUGUGCGAAAGCGUGGGGAUCAAACAGGAUUAGAUACCCUGGUAGUCCACGCCGUAAACGAUGAGUGCUAAGUGUUAGGGGGUUUCCGCCCCUUAGUGCUGCAGCUAACGCAUUAAGCACUCCGCCUGGGGAGUACGACCGCAAGGUUGAAACUCAAAGGAAUUGACGGGGGCCCGCACAAGCGGUGGAGCAUGUGGUUUAAUUCGAAGCAACGCGAAGAACCUUACCAAAUCUUGACAUCCUUUGACAACUCUAGAGAUAGAGCCUUCCCCUUCGGGGGACAAAGUGACAGGUGGUGCAUGGUUGUCGUCAGCUCGUGUCGUGAGAUGUUGGGUUAAGUCCCGCAACGAGCGCAACCCUUAAGCUUAGUUGCCAUCAUUAAGUUGGGCACUCUAAGUUGACUGCCGGUGACAAACCGGAGGAAGGUGGGGAUGACGUCAAAUCAUCAUGCCCCUUAUGAUUUGGGCUACACACGUGCUACAAUGGACAAUACAAAGGGCAGCGAAACCGCGAGGUCAAGCAAAUCCCAUAAAGUUGUUCUCAGUUCGGAUUGUAGUCUGCAACUCGACUACAUGAAGCUGGAAUCGCUAGUAAUCGUAGAUCAGCAUGCUACGGUGAAUACGUUCCCGGGUCU
rnacentral:rRNA from 1 species